rnacentral:rRNA from 1 species
AUUGAACGCUGGCGGCAUGCUUUACACAUGCAAGUCGAACGGUAACAGGCCGCAAGGUGCUGACGAGUGGCGAACGGGUGAGUAAUGCAUCGGAACGUGCCCAGUCGUGGGGGAUAACGCAGCGAAAGCUGUGCUAAUACCGCAUACGAUCUAUGGAUGAAAGCGGGGGACCGUAAGGCCUCGCGCGAUUGGAGCGGCCGAUGUCAGAUUAGGUAGUUGGUGGGGUAAAGGCCCACCAAGCCAACGAUCUGUAGCUGGUCUGAGAGGACGACCAGCCACACUGGGACUGGGACACGGCCCAGACUCCUACGGGAGGCAGCAGUGGGGAAUUUUGGACAAUGGGCGCAAGCCUGAUCCAGCAAUGCCGCGUGCAGGAAGAAGGCCUUCGGGUUGUAAACUGCUUUUGUACGGAACGAAACGGCUCUGGUUAAUACCCGGGGCUAAUGACGGUACCGUAAGAAUAAGCACCGGCUAACUACGUGCCAGCCGCCGCUGUAACAC